UACCGGCACCCCGAGUGGUCGGGACGUUUAUUGGGCCUAAAGCAUCCGUAGCCGGUUCUACAAGUCUUCCGUUAAAUCCACCUGCUUAACAGAUGGGCUGCGGAAGAUACUAUAGAGCUAGGAGGCGGGAGAGGCAAGCGGUACUCGAUGGGUAGGGGUAAAAUCCUUUGAUCCAUUGAAGACCACCAGUGGCGAAGGCGGCUUGCCAGAACGCGCUCGACGGUGAGGGAUGAAAGCUGGGGGAGCAAACCGG
rnacentral:rRNA from 1 species